GAUGAACGCUGGCGGCGUGCCUAACACAUGCAAGUCGAACGUGAGGGGGUAGCAAUAUCCUUGAAAGUGGCGCACGGGUGAGUAAUACGUAGGUGACCUGCCCUGGAGUGGGGGAUAACAGCUAGAAAUGGCUGCUAAUACCGCAUAAUACGAGAAUGCUGGGAAGUGUUCUGGCAAAAACUCUGGUGCUUCAGGAGGGGCCUGCGGCCGAUUAGCUAGUUGGCGGGGUAAGAGCCCACCAAGGCAGUGAUCGGUAGCUGGUCUGAGAGGACGAUCAGCCACACGGGAACUGAGACACGGUCCCGACUCCUACGGGGGGCAGCAGUGAGGAAUAUUGGGCAAUGGGCGGAAGCCUGACCCAGCAACGCCGCGUGGAGGAAGACGGCCUUCGGGUUGUAAACUCCUUUUACGGGGGAAGAGGAAGGACGGUACCCCGAGAAUAAGUCACGGCUAACUACGUGCCAGCCGCCGCGGUAAAAC
rnacentral:rRNA from 1 species